AUUGAACGCUAGCGGGAUGCCUUACACAUGCAAGUCGAACGGCGUGGCGAACGGGUGAGUAAUGUAUCGGACCGUGCCCAGUAGCGGGGUAUCACUACGCGAAAGCGUAGCUAAUACCUCAUACUCUUGGAGCCGCCGAUAUCGGCUUAGCCAGUUGGUGGGGUAUCGGCUCACCAAGGCGACGAGCCGUAGCUGGUUUGAGAGGACGACCAGGCACACUGGGACUGAGACACGGCCCAGACUCCGACGGGAGGCAGCAGUGGGGAAGUUUGGACAAUGGGGGAAACCCUGAUCCAGCCAUCCCGCGUGUGCGAUGAAGGCCUUCGGGUUGUAAAGCACUUUUGGCAGGAAAGCGGUACCUGCAGAAUAAGCACCGGCUAACUACGUGCCAGCCGCCGCGGUAAUAC
rnacentral:rRNA from 1 species